rnacentral:tRNA from 1 species
UGGCUAGGUAGCUCAGCUGGUUAGAGCGCAGCACUCAUAAUGCUGAGGUCGGGAGUUCAAGUCUCCCCCUAGCUACCAU